GUGGAUUCUCGUGUCGGUACAUGGAUGCGCGUGUCUCUCGUUCGUUGCUUCGUGUUACGUCAGAGUAAAAGAAAAGGAAAAGCUAGAAGAUAGAAGUGGAACAUCGAAGUUGGAAUAUUUUCUGUCUUAUUCUAUUGUUACAUGCAUUUUUUGGAGAUGGAACUGGAAGAUGGGAGGAACAAAUAUAAUAUUGAAAGGAGUACAAUCGUAUGGUUUGACGGAGUUUGUUCAUUAAUCCAUUGGGGAGGAGAGUAAGAUGACUUUGUGAAGUUAUUAUGGAAACUAAACCUAUCGGUUCAGGAAGAGAUAGAGGAAGAAAUAAGAUUUAUCGUCUAUAAUCAAUAAGACACGUACGCACAUUCCUGCGAAGAGAAAAAAAAACCCAUGGAGGAUAAAUAAAAUACAGUUUUGAAAUUGUUUUGUAAUACAUCCCGCUGAUACGAUGAAAACCUCCCAAGUAGAUCUAUCGAUCGUGGAUCGAGGAUCGUGGAUCGUUUAAAUAUCACUGAUCAUCGUUCCAAGCAUUCCUUGCGUUCUGUUACGCCUCUUCGUAUGGUGUCCGGUCUGUCGGACGAUAAUACGCGCCCCGUCACCUUGACGAGACCCGGAAUAAAAAAAUAAGAGAAGAAGAAGAAGAGUUUAAAGAAAAAAAAUUAAAAAAGGAAAAACAACGAGAGAAGAUAAAAAAAAAAAAAAUAUUCUUAUGAAGAAACACGUCAAACGUCCGACUUUUUCAAUGAUGUUCAACAGAGUUAGCACGUGUGUUUAAAAUGUGA
rnacentral:lncRNA from 1 species